rnacentral:rRNA from 1 species
AACGAACGCUGGCGGCAUGCCUAACACAUGCAAGUCGAACGAGACCUUCGGGUCUAGUGGCGCACGGGUGCGUAACGCGUGGGAACCUGCCCUUAGGUUCGGAAUAACUCCCCGAAAGGGGUGCUAAUACCGGAUAAUGUCUUCGGACCAAAGAUUUAUCGCCUUUGGAUGGGCCCGCGUUGGAUUAGCUAGUUGGUAGGGUAAAAGCCUACCAAGGCGACGAUCCAUAGCUGGUCUGAGAGGAUGAUCAGCCACACUGGGACUGAGACACGGCCCAGACUCCUACGGGAGGCAGCAGUGGGGAAUAUUGGACAAUGGGCGAAAGCCUGAUCCAGCAAUGCCGCGGGAGUGAUGAAGGCCUUAGGGUUGUAAAGCUCUUUUACCCGGGAUGAUAAUGACAGUACCGGGAGAAUAAGCUCCGGCUAACUCCGUG